rnacentral:lncRNA from 1 species
CUGCUGUCUAGCACCAUGUAAUGACCUAUCCAGGGGGCUGUAAUGCCUUUUCUGUUUAGCGUAAUGCCGUUAAGCUAUACACCGUCAGCAACCACUGUACUGCAACUUAUAAUAGGGAGAGACGGUCCACGGUCUCCCAGCUUUGUUACACCACGGCCAGAAAACAGCGCAAUAUAGAUCAAACAUUCUGCUUGUUCUGCUUGUGAAAUAUGAUUUCAUUUCAUUCAGGGAAAAAACAUUGGGGAUAAAGAGAAAUUCCUAUAUUUCCGGUGUUUCACUAUUUGACCUCACAAAAGAAUGAUCCUGUGGGUUUUUAUGUUUUGUUUUCCUCUGCCGGCCACAGCAUAUUGUACUGCAGAGGCCACUCACAUGUACCAUAAUGUGUGUUCUUCAACGCACAGCUUGACUCAACAUCGUUUUUCUCUCUCGUCUGCAUUCUGUUGUCUCAGGUUUGAGGAGAGAGGGGAGACAGGAGGCGAAAAGGGGUUCCCGGUAGCGUUUUCAUCAAAGGCUUUUCCGUCAGCACUUCAGAGUGGCCGUCAGUAUGGAAAUGUGUUGUGCUGCCUGGAAAGCUGUCAGAGAACACAUAUCUUGGAUGGGACCCUGCUAAUUCAACUGGGCUCCUGUCGGCUAUGUUCUCUGGUCCCCUCAUUAUGCACUGUGAGAUGGUAAAAAGAAUGUAGGCCUAGAGAUGAACAAGGAAGACUUGAGGAAGGUGACAAUUGAAUAUGUUUACUUGUGACGGGAGAUGUGCAGGUGAGAAGAGACUUCACUUGACUGGGCCGCUCCAGGGUAAACACACACACACACACACACACACAGUUGUAAGGAGGCCAUUAACUGACAGCCUAGUUCCUGCUCUGCUCUCCAGGUUGAACGACAAAAGAAAAAAAAACAACAACAUGAAAUUCCAAAUACUUAGAUCAAAGAAGAAUAAAUAAACCAGUAACACGAGCAUGUUGACUGUCAGAAAAGAGCAUUUGACUAUUCAAAAUAACACCUUCUUCUUGGGGCCACUUCCUGUCAUGACAUUUGUACUUUGAGCAGAACUGGAGAAUAUUGUAGGUUUUUAAUAGGUCGCCAAAAAAAAAAGAUAAAGCUAAAUACAUUCUGAAAUAUAUGAUGCUUUGAGUUUAUGUCUGUGGUCUUGUUUUAAACAUUAUUCAGUAGCAAAGACAUUCGGUUGCGGUUUUAUUUCAUGUUUAUGUGACAAUAUGAACAAUGCAUUAUAUUGAGUAUUUGUAUAGAUGGGUUAGCUGACAACGUUACCAAAAGAACGAUGUGCAGGCUUCAAUGGGGCUGAAGUCUGGGAGGUGUUAUAUUCCUGGAGGGACAGAUAGAUACCAACAAUGAGAAGAAGAAAAUUGUGGGGAAUCGUAAGUGACUCGUUUCAGCUAGUUUCAUCUUGUUCUUGAUGCCAUGUCUUGUUUUGAGAUGUUUUGAUUCAUUUCAUGUCAAUGCUAAUGUGGUUAAAAUUCACUAGCUAGCUAACCAACAACUGUAACCAUGUAUUUGAGAGACAACAAGUGGUUAUUGUGAACAUUUAUUUCUGUUUUCAAUCAACACUGGAGACUAAAUAUAGCUGACAUGUUGUCAACAGUCUAAGCCAACCCUGUCUGUUCGUCACCAUAGUGUUACGCACGUCGGUUUUGUUGCUAAACAACCAACCCGUCUAUAAUCAAAUGAUGAAACGUGCAUUUUGACAAACAGGAAUAAGCAUGUCUUUGGCAUGUUUAGAUGUAUAAGGAUAGAGCCAGCUCUCAGCCAGCUCUGGGCCGUUGUGC